GACAUCAGGUCUACCCAUUGAAGUCAAUGGGGGCAAACGAGUAUCAGGUCUACCCAUUAAAGUCAAUGGGGGCAAACGAGUAUCAGGUCUACCCAUUAAAGUCAAUGGGGCAAAUGGGACAUCAGGUCUACCCAUUAAAGUCAACGGGGAUAAAUGGGACAUCAGGUCUACCCAUUGAAGUCAAUGGGGCGAACGAGUAUCAGGUCUACCCAUUAAAGUCAAUGGGACAAACGGGACAUCAGGUCUACCCAUUAAAGUCAAUGGGGCAAAAUCAGACAUCAGGUCUACCCAUUAAAGUCAAUGGGGCAAAAAGGGUAUCAGGUCUACCCAUUAAAGUCAAUGGGGCGAAUGGGACAUCAGGUCUACCCGUUAAAGUCAAUGGGGAUCAACAGGACAUCAGGUCUACCCAUUAAAGUCAAUGGGGCAAACUGGACAUCAGGUCUACCCAUUAAAGUCAAUGGGGCAAACUGGACAUCAGGUCUACCCAUUAACAUCAAUAGGUCCAGUGG